GACGGGGGGUCCAAGCGUUGUUCGGAAUCAUUGGGCGUAAAGCGGGCGUAGGUGGCUAUUCAAGUCAGGAGUGAAAGCCCUGGGCUCAACCCAGGAAGUGCUCUUGAUACUGUUUAGCUUGAAUGUGGGAGAGGGUAGUAGAAUUCCAGGUGUAGUGGUGAAAUACGUAGAUAUCUGGAGGAAUACCGGUGGCGAAGGCGGCUACCUGGCCCAACAUUGACACUGAGGCCCGAAAGCGUGGGGAUCAAACAGG
rnacentral:rRNA from 1 species